UUACGUCGAUAGGACGUUGGAUUUCAGUGAAAUCUAACAUAGAAGUCUUGAUUGAGUCACUUCCCUUUGUUCUGAUUUAUAAACCCAAUAGGUGGCUCUAAUUUCAGUUCAAGAUAAUCAUUCAAAUUUUGUUAUUCAUUUUUUUCACAUCAAUUGUAUGUUUUUUGUUAUACUAGACCGUAGAAAGGAACAAUGUUAGUAUUUCAAAUAAAUUGAAAAAAUAAUGGAAACUUGAUGAAUUUCAAAACGAGGCUACAACAACAACUUGUUUUCAAAUUCAAACAAAGACAAAGGACAUUAUAGACAUCAUAGAAGACAACUGGCAUACUAAAAAACUAACACCAAUGUUUGAUUACAAUUAGCUGAUAACAAUUUAUAUAUUUGUAUACAUGAAAAACAGUCGACAGAAAAAAACAUUUGGACAUAAAAGAACGAUGAGGACAUCAAAUUAAGUUUCAAGGGGUAAAGACAAGUUGAACCUCAAAACAAGUUUUUACAUGAUUAUUUGACACAGUGUCUUCGUAGAUGAAAAUAAUCAGGAUCCAGUGGUGAACGUUUAGUAUAUCAGAAAAUUCACAUUGAGGAGUAUAUCUCCAAAAUUUAAUACUUUUAAGUUAGUUUAAGAAGAAAAAAGAUAAAAAAUCACUUACUUUCUUUAAAAGUGAAUAUUAUUGUUUUGUGUGUAACACUUAAUUUUGACAGAAAGGAAUAUUUUCACUCACUUAUCCGAUUUUGUUACCGAUAAAAUCAACUGCAAAAGAAAGGAUUAUUUUCCAUGAUUUCCAUUUUCUAUGAGUUUUUAAAAGAAAAUCUUUUUAAGCAUGUUGUAAACUUUAAUUGACAACUGUUGUAAUAGAUAAUAGUAGUUAAUGUGUACUGUAGAUCUUUAAAGAUCCUGUAUGCUUUGUUAUUGAUAUUAUUACUGUGUGAAUACCACACUUGAAAAAUUAUAUAUUUAAAAUAAUUAUGCAAAUAAAACAAUUUUCAAACAUCAAAGGAUAUGUAAAAUGUGUACUGCAAAUAUUUGUGCACAUUAUAUUUAAUCAAUCAAUUACAUGCAUUCUUUUCUUUUUGGAAAAUUUGACCUAGAAUUUAUGGAAAAUAAAUUUCUAAUUACCUCCCUUUAUUUACAUGAAAUAUUAAAUUGGGUAAUAUCUUCAUAAAUAAUGCUUAUUUGAACUUACAAUAUUGACAAAUCUUAAUUUGAGCAUCAUAUUUAUGAAAUGAAACCAUGAAAAAAAAUGUGUUACAGGAUCUUUAAAUGAAAAAGAUUUGUUGACUGUUAUUUGUUAUAAUUUUGGAUUACACAAUGUGUAUUAUUGUAUUGACUGAAAGAGGUCUGAUAAAUGUUAAACUUCAAUUUUGAAAAGACAUGUAGCUCUUAUUUUUUUUAAUUUUAAUAGUUUAUAUACAUUUUAUAAAUAUCAAACCUUAUUUUAUUAUCACUAUAAAUGAUUAAAAGUGAGUCCUUUUUUGAUGUUAUGCAUAUAUAUGUUGG